rnacentral:SRP_RNA from 1 species
CCCAGUGCCACGGCAUGUGCCUGUAGUCUCAGCUACUCGGGGGAGGGUGAGGUGGGAGGAUUGCUUGAGCCCAGGAGUUCUGGGCUGUAGUGUGCUAUGCCGAUCGGGUGUCCGCAUUAAGUUCGGCAUCAAUAUGGUGACCUCCUGGGAGCCGGGACCACCAGCUUGCCUAAGGAGGGGUAAACCGGCCCAGGUCAGAAACGGAGCAGGUCAAAACUCCUGUGCUGAUGAGUAGUGGAUCGCGCCUGUGAAUAGCCACUGCACUGCAGCCUGGGCAACAUAGCGAGAUCACGUCUCU